AGUGGAAGCGCCUGGGAGCGCGCCCUUCCGCCAGGCGCUUCCGGGCGGGUGCUGCGAGGCGACCGCGGGCGUGUGGCGAGGCUCCCUUUGUGGCGGCUGAGGCACGGUGGUCCGCACGUGCUCCAGUGUAGUUUGGGCCCUCGCUCCACGUCCCGAGCCGCGCCACUAUUGUUCAGCCUCCCAUUGCCGCGGAUGGGGGCUUAUUCUCGUCGUUAUGCCUUUAAAGGGCAACUCAUCCCCUCCUCCUGGCGUCUCAGGCACUGGCCGGGCUAUAACUCAUGGCUGGGCGGCCCUGCGUGGGUCGCCGUGGGCAUUUUCUGUGGAAAUAGCUUUGGUUCCCAGCCGUCAGGCACAGACACGCCCCGGUUUGUUUUCGUUCAGGCAUGUGACCAGGCGGGAGGGUCUCCCGCGGAGUUUCGCUGAGAAUUUUGGAAAUGAAGCACGUGGAGCGCCUAUGUAGGGGUAGAGAGGCCGAGCUGAAAGGAGCACGGGCGCCGGCCUCAGCCUGUGGGGAGCCGGGCCCGCUCGCCUCCCUGCGUCUGGCUAGCCCGAGCCUGGAACUCGGGAAGCCCAGGAGCGAAGUGAAAGCCCCUUCUGGUCUCUCAGGGCUCCACUCCCGCAGCAGCCCGGCUCCGUCGGCGUCAGUGGAGCCCCAGGCCUGGGUCCGAGUUGAGCGAGACGCUGCCCUGGCUCGCGAUUGCCCGGGCGCUCCCAAAACCAGGGAACAGUCCCCAGGAGAGAAGUCCCUGAAGUUUCCUGGAGCAGGGAAUCUCCAAGAUCCUGUUCUGCAAAGGAAUCUGGACUUUAUUCUAAGGGCCGUGGAGAACCCCUGCAAAGUUUUUUAAAAGGUAGACUAAGAGAUUGGCA